UCCAGUUUUUCUACUUAAAUCGCUAUUGUGAGUAGGAUUAUUUCUUCCGCAUCUCAUCCAACGACUCUUUUGCUAAUUCCAAAACGUCAUUUUAAAGCUGGCAAUGGAGGCUUCAGCCGUUGAUAGCAGACUAAUGCAGUUAAUAAUGAAGUUAUUAGAAAGAGAGCGAGAGACACAGAGAAAGAGAAACAGAGAGAGAUCUUGUAUGAAUUAGGCUACCUUUGUGUGUCCCUCAGCAGUGUUCUGAAGCACCGUCUCUAAACUGGUAGAGAUGAAAGGAGCAGGUACAUCAAGGGCAGCCCGGGUCCUGAUGGACUUUCUAGAGCAUCUGCAUUCGCCACGUAGCAGCCCGUCUGUUUGUUUAUUUGGUUUGAUACCGCUGCAGGACUCUGAGCAUAACCCACCCAGCCUGCAAACCCCCCCUGAUUCAGAGAGGGGCUUCCAGCAGCCUGGACCAGCCUCUGCUGCAGCAUUUCAUCAUGUGCCAGCAUUAGGGUCCCUUCCGGCAGCUUCUCUCUGCCUGCAUGCACUGUACUGUAAAGCCUGCAGCUGAGUUCCUCCUCAGUCAGCACCUCUACUGCGGCCAUUAGGAGCAGCAUGGACCAUGGCAGCUGUAUGGAAGUGUACCCAAAGAGCGCAGGAAACCUGGAGACAGAGUGGAGGGUUGACAGAAGAAGAAUGAGGGUGCUGAGGCCAGACCCCAGCAGGGAAGCUCUGCUACCCACUUCCAGCAAUCCCUCACAGGGGUUGGACAGGAUCAGGUCCAGAAGAAACAUCAGGCAAGCUCAGGAGAUACAGGCCAUCGUCUAUGGCUGCAGCCUACACAUAAUCCUUCUUCAGAGCUGUAGAACUGUUCAUUAAUGACCAUUUCCCUACUUCCUCUGAGUCUGCUUGUCUGUCAUGUUCUCCAUAUUGACUGAAGCUCCUCCCACACUGGGAGAUGUGAUAGUGCCUCUUGCCUGUAUGAGUUCGUUGGUGUCGCAUCUGUUCUGAUGAUUGACCAAACGUCUUCCUUCACACUAACCCAUGGUGUGGCGUCACGCAUGUAUGAAUCCACUGGUACGUCUUUAGGACUCUUAUUUCACUGAAUCUCUUCCCACAGUGGGACUUUGUUGAUGUGUCUUUAACUUAAUUAAUUGGCAAAAACUCUGCCUUUGUACACUGGGAGCACUGGCAAUUCCUCUCCCCUGUGUGAAUUCGCUGGUGGAUCCUUAGGGCUCCUACUUGAUUAAAGGUCUUCCCACACUGGGAACACUGGUAGGGCCUCUCCCCUGUGUGAAUCCGAUGGUGGAUCCUUAGGGCUCCUACUUAACUAAAGGUAUUCCCACACUGGGAACACUGGUAGGGCCUCUCCCCUGUGUGAAUCCGAUGGUGGAUCCUUAGGGCUCCUACUUGACUGAAGUUCUUCUUACAGUAGGAACAUUGGUAAGUCCGUUUUUCUAAAACACUGAAGCCCACUGGGAGGACUGGUAGGGUCUCUCUCCUGUGAGUUUAUGCCGUUAGUUGGCCUUACUGACUCUUACCACAUUCUGAAGGCUUUUCGCUUGUGUGAACUCAUCAGAUUUAAUUUCCCCCAGCAAAUUUAAUCUGCCUGCUUUUCAAACUGUUGAGGGUCCUGAAAAUUCUUGGGCCAGUACCAAGUAUCAGCAUCGGGAUACCAAUCUUAGCAUUAUUUACUACCGGAUUAAAAGGGAAGUGAGUGAUAUUGCCCGUCCUUAAUACUCACCAUACACCAAUCAUGGAUGGAUGCAUUUAUUCUCGCUCGUUUUACCGCUGCCCUUUUAAGGAUCAUGCAAUAAAAGAGUCUUAAAAACA